rnacentral:tRNA from 1 species
GCGUCUGUGUCCGAGUGGUUAAGGAGAUGGACUCGAAAUCCAUUGGUUUUUACCGCACAGGUUCGAAUCCUGUCAGGCGCG